GACAGAGGGUGCAAACGUUGUUCGGAAUUACUGGGCGUAAAGCGUGUGUAGGCGGUCGACUAAGUCGGGUGUGAAAUCCCAGAGCUCAACUCUGGAACUGCCUUUGAUACUGGGUGUCUUGAGUAUGGAAGAGGUGAGUGGAAUUCCGAGUGUAGAGGUGAAAUUCGUAGAUAUUCGGAGGAACACCAGUGGCGAAGGCGGCUCACUGGUCCAUUACUGACGCUGAGGUGCGAAAGCGUGGGGAGCAAACAGG
rnacentral:rRNA from 1 species